AAUCACUAACAUUUGAAUAAGACAACAGUUAGUUCUGAAACUUUGGCAUGUCGUACGGACUGCUUGCGUUGCAUCUGGGCAGAGACUGAGUGUUCGACAAUGCGUGGCUUGCCCGCAUACCCAUUUAGAUUUAUACGAAAUAAUUAUCAGUAAAUUCAACGGUGCCUCCCCCGAAGAGGUUUUCGCCAAAGCCGCUUCCGAAGGAACCCGAGUCAGCAAAGAUCUUCAGGGAGCUGCUCGAGAGGACUGCCGGCAAGGCCAAACGUCUCAACAACCGCCUCAACACCCCUCAACCAACCCACUACGGAGCCGUAAAAGCGGAAGUCCUGAACCGAAACAGGAAACAGCAGACGAAACGACGCCAGGACUGCGCUGAGACUCCCCAGGUGUCGCCACUUCGCGGUCGCCAAUCGAGGACGAAGUUUCGCGGCCUGUUCGGCUUCGAUACAAGCUACGGUCGACUGCCUUCUCGUUCAGCGGAGCGCAACGAUUACCACCACACCAUGCAGCGAAAUCGUGGCCCCACGGACGAGUCAAUACGAUCUAGUGAGAUACAGGACUUCUACCGCUACACCAGUCCCGAACGGCUAAGGUCGCCAGCACCACCUCUCGGACCUACAGAGAACUACCGUGACUUUGGUUUGCCGCGCUGCCACCACCAGUGCAAGCGGGACGUGGCGCCCCCGAACGUGAUGUUGAUGAACAAGUUUGAGGACUUCGAAAUGCCGAGUCCGCGCUACGUCCUAUCAACACCAGGCUUUGCCAAGCACAAGGGGAAUGUGCAGCGCUUCCGGAGGUUCGGUUCAACCAUCGGCUGGGUGACAGACGAGUACACCAAGCAUAAGCAGCAUGGACCCAGCUACUAUGAUUCGCCGUAACAUAUAGCACUCCUGUAUAUUACAAGACUUGACUAUCAUAACAUUUUAAUCAUUGUAAAAUACAAAUCAUGCAAAUUACUGACAUUUCACACACUCCAUUACCAGCAUGCCACAGUAGUUAUCUGGAAAGCCAUGAACAAGCUUAUUUUCUUUUACAAUGCAAAAUAAGAGUUGUGUUUAUGUAUGUCUGUGCUGUUGGGUUAGCAGCCACUACCUUCAAAAAUAAAUUAUGUAAUAACUUUACAGCUAUUUCCUAAAUAUAAAGUUGAGCAACCAACGAUUCCACUGAAGCUUUUUAUUAAAACCUUUUGCACAAACACCCCGGUAACGUCCAUGAAGUUAUAUACAGUAUGUUAGAAUGAUGAAUAAACUUCCACGCUGAAGUGCCAACCAAUCACUGGUGCAGCAGCGACACAAUCUCGUC